CUCUCUCAGGGCGCACAGGUAAUCCUCCAGCGGCG
rnacentral:scRNA from 1 species